rnacentral:tRNA from 1 species
GAGGGUAUAGCUUAAGUGGCAGAGCACAUGCUUAGCAUGAACAAGGUCCUGGGUUCAAUCCCCAGUACCUCCU